rnacentral:pre_miRNA from 1 species
AAUAAAUCAUUUUUUCACUUUUCACCGAUAAUUUUUGACUCUUUGUCUUAUUCAAAUUUUUUUUUGCGAUUGAUAUUUUUGUUUUUAUUAGAUGAUAAAUCAUGAAUAGUACUUUACGUGUGACUAAUUUUUUUCUAAUUUCCUGAAAAAUUUUCAAAUAAGACGGACGGUCAAACGUUGGACACGGAAACC